rnacentral:rRNA from 1 species
UACGUAGGGUGCGAGCGUUAAUCGGAAUUACUGGGCGUAAAGCGUGCGCAGGCGGUUCGUUAAGUCAGAUGUGAAAGCCCCGGGCUCAACCUGGGAACUGCAUUUGAAACUGGCGGGCUUGAGUGUGGCAGAGGGGGGUGGAAUUCCGCGUGUAGCAGUGAAAUGCGUAGAUAUCGGGAGGAACAUCUGUGGCGAAGGCGACACCCUGGACCAGCACUGACACUGAGGCACGAAAGCGUGGGGAGCAAACAGG